CCUUUGACCUUCAGAGAUAUGGAAUCCCAGAUACUUGACAGUUGGCUGACACAACUGAGCUUUCUUCCUGGACACCUUGUAUCCUGCCUUCCAAAGAAUGUGCAGUAAAUCAUAAGUUGCUUGCUGGCAUAUCUCUUUAGUAACUGCCGCUAUCAACAAAUCAUCCACGUAUUGUAGUAGUACACAUUCUCCUGGGAUGGACUUGAAAUCUAA